UACAGAGGGGGCAAGCGUUAUUCGGAAUUAUUGGGCGUAAAGGGCGCGUAGGCGGCUUGGCAAGUGGAAGGUGAAAUCCCUCGGCUUAACCGAGGAACUGCCCUCCAAACUGCUUCGCUUGAGACCGGGAGAGGUGAGUGGAAUUCCCAGUGUAGCGGUGAAAUGCGUAGAUAUUGGGAGGAACACCAGUGGCGAAGGCGGCUCACUGGACCACGACUGACACUGAGGCACGAAAGCGUGGGUAGCAAACAGG
rnacentral:rRNA from 1 species